AGCAACGCGGGCUCGCCUCUCAGCGCGGUCACCUCAGCGUUGCGGUUGCGGGCACGAGACGCCCCUCACCCCCGGUAUUGGGGUCGCGGGCCUCAGGCGGGCGUCGGUCCACGGCGACCCCGCAGGCCCUGGUCUGGUGUCCGCGCGGACGAGGCUGCGGGGUGCGCUGGGCUUGCGCUGGGGCGGGCGGGGGGCGUCCACACGCUUUCUCCCCAGCACGCGUGGGCCUCACGCGUGGGGCUUUUCACGACUCUCGGGAGUGAGCUUGGACACCCUGGGCACCUUUGGACGCGUCCUUCGUAGACGCGCUGUGACACGUGUGUUAGCCUGGGGGCUGGUGGAGCUGAACUGAGAUACCACGCCCCCCCGAACACGCACGCACCCCGAGAAUCCUGAGGGAGCUGUUCCCCAGUGUCGGCGGGAAGCGUAUCUGCCAGGUGCGACGGUGGACUGUAGUGGACGCGAAUACCCGGCCCUGUCCGCAGAGGGCCACCUUCCUAGGUCAGAAAUAAUGGACAGUGGAUGGCUACCAACAGACCACUGAAAGCCAUGGAGUCUCUUCGGGUGCCUGCAAAAGAAGCCUCAUCUCCUGCAUUGAGACAAUGCAGACAAGGGCCAGGCUCAAGAAUUAACAUCUCAAAGAUGUUUCCAGCUGUACACUUUAGAAAAUAAACAACAGGAAGCCAUCCUCUGCUUACCCUUCGUGGGCGGGCAGGGAGGAUCGACCAACGGAGAACUGGGCAGAUGCCCGUCACUCAUGAGC